rnacentral:rRNA from 1 species
AGAGUUUGAUCAUGGCUCAGAUUGAACGCUGGCGGCAGGCCUAACACAUGCAAGUCGAACGGUAACAGGAAGAAGCUUGCUUCUUUGCUGACGAGUGGCGGACGGGUGAGUAAUGUCUGGGAAACUGCCUGAUGGAGGGGGAUAACUACUGGAAACGGUAGCUAAUACCGCAUAACGUCGCAAGACCAAAGAGGGGGACCUUCGGGCCUCUUGCCAUCGGAUGUGCCCAGAUGGGAUUAGCUAGUAGGUGGGGUAACGGCUCACCUAGGCGACGAUCCCUAGCUGGUCUGAGAGGAUGACCAGCCACACUGGAACUGAGACACGGUCCAGACUCCUACGGGAGGCAGCAGUGGGGAAUAUUGCACAAUGGGCGCAAGCCUGAUGCAGCCAUGCCGCGUGUAUGAAGAAGGCCUUCGGGUUGUAAAGUACUUUCAGCGGGGAGGAAGGGAGUAAAGUUAAUACCUUUGCUCAUUGACGUUACCCGCAGAAGAAGCACCGGCUAACUCCGUGCCAGCAGCCGCGGUAAUACGGAGGGUGCAAGCGUUAAUCGGAAUUACUGGGCGUAAAGCGCACGCAGGCGGUUUGUUAAGUCAGAUGUGAAAUCCCCGGGCUCAACCUGGGAACUGCAUCUGAUACUGGCAAGCUUGAGUCUCGUAGAGGGGGGUAGAAUUCCAGGUGUAGCGGUGAAAUGCGUAGAGAUCUGGAGGAAUACCGGUGGCGAAGGCGGCCCCCUGGACGAAGACUGACGCUCAGGUGCGAAAGCGUGGGGAGCAAACAGGAUUAGAUACCCUGGUAGUCCACGCCGUAAACGAUGUCGACUUGGAGGUUGUGCCCUUGAGGCGUGGCUUCCGGAGCUAACGCGUUAAGUCGACCGCCUGGGGAGUACGGCCGCAAGGUUAAAACUCAAAUGAAUUGACGGGGGCCCGCACAAGCGGUGGAGCAUGUGGUUUAAUUCGAUGCAACGCGAAGAACCUUACCUGGUCUUGACAUCCACGGAAGUUUUCAGAGAUGAGAAUGUGCCUUCGGGAACCGUGAGACAGGUGCUGCAUGGCUGUCGUCAGCUCGUGUUGUGAAAUGUUGGGUUAAGUCCCGCAACGAGCGCAACCCUUAUCCUUUGUUGCCAGCGGUCCGGCCGGGAACUCAAAGGAGACUGCCAGUGAUAAACUGGAGGAAGGUGGGGAUGACGUCAAGUCAUCGUGGCCCUUACGACCAGGGCUACACACGUGCUACAAUGGCGCAUACAAAGAGAAGCGACCUCGCGAGAGCAAGCGGACCUCAUAAAGUGCGUCGUAGUCCGGAUUGGAGUCUGCAACUCGACUCCAUGAAGUCGGAAUCGCUAGUAAUCGUGGAUCAGAAUGCCACGGUGAAUACGUUCCCGGGCCUUGUACACACCGCCCGUCACACCAUGGGAGUGGGUUGCAAAAGAAGUAGGUAGCUUAACCUUCGGGAGGGCGCUUACCACUUUGUGAUUCAUGACUGGGGUGAAGUCGAAACAAGGUAACUGUAGGGGAACCUGCGGUUG